ensembl:lncRNA
GGCAUUUCAUCUCACUUUGGAAGUAAUGAGACAGUUUAGUAUGAUAUGUCAUUUAAAAUCAGGUUUUUCUUUUUCAUAGGUUCAGUAUCCCUGAAGAAGUGACUGACAGACGAGUACAUGGCUUAUAUUUAUCUUAGGAAAAAUAUUGAGGUUGGCGCAAGCAGGGAGACAGCAGAGUCACAGUGAUCCUCAGGAAGGCAAAAGGGCAAGGCUCUGUGCAUCGGGUGAAUGACAGACCUGAAGUUAAGCAAACCAAGUUAGAAGUCUCAAAACCAUUGUCUCGUGGUCUGGGAGGUGCUCUGAUGCCAACAUGCUUUGGGUACUGGCUGCAUGGAAGGCAGAUGCCUUUUAUCCAAAAAAAAAAGGAGUGUUCUCCAUAGGAAAUGUUUGUGUACAUACUGCAACACCAAUUUCAGAAAAUAGAUUACCUCUGAGGAAACCAUCUGUUUCUGCAUCCCGUGAACUUUCAGAGGGAUGCUCCUUGGAGGUUUGCACUGUCAGCUUAUGCCAGGUUUGGUGUGAUCCAGCAGGCUCCAUCCAGGGCGUGCUUGAAUGACUCGGCUGAAAAACUCCAGCUGUGGACUUGCCUCCACCUCGCAGACACAGGCAGACUACAGGGCGCUUGAUUAUUUAUUUUAAAUCAAAAUAUCAGUUACUCGUCCUACACUUGUGUCUAAACAUUGAUCACAUUAUAAACAGGUAGUUUGAGAUUGCCCAGAAGCUGUGUUGGAAUAGAAAUAGGGCACUACCAAACACAGAUUGUAGCACAAGGCUGUAGUUGUGAGCACAAGUAUUGAGCCAUGACUGAGCGAGGAAGGAGAUGGAUGGUGGUAUGGAGAUACUACAAAUACAAGGUCAUUGAGUUUGUCUUUGAUACUUCCUUUGCUUGUGGCAUCUAAGAAAGAGGUUGGAAAAAAAUCUGGAAGGUUUUUCACAUGAGGGUUCUAGGAAUUAUCUAAGGUUGUGAAAACCUGCUUUAUUCCGAGAGGCUUAAGCCCUAAUCUACUCAGUUUAUCCACAUGCAUGCAAAAAGCUCACUCAGUCACAGUCUGCAGCUUCCUACUUGGGUUAGAGAUUGCUCACAUUUAUGGCUCUUUAAUCUUCGUGCAGUGGGAACUGAUCCUGGAUACACCCAGACUAGCAAUAUGGCAUACUUCAGCAACGCAGGAAAAUAAGCUUUCAGCAGCUGACCUGCAGAUGUGAUGAAGUCUCUGUCGCCUGGGAUCUUUAAAUCAAGACUUAACAUCUUCUAGAGGGUAUGCUACAGCACAGAGAGGACUUGCAGGCAUGCCUGCAGUAUAGAUAUUGCUGGAAGAGGUUCUGCAAUCUCGUUAACAAAUGCUGUAUAGAUAAAUUAGCACAGUCAUUGCUUCAAGCCUUAAAAAUCUAUUAAUACUCUCAAUACCUGGUUUUUGAAAUAAUCAUGCCAUCCUCUUGCAAACCACAUGCCUGAAACUGUGGUCAGACUAUGGGUUAAUUACGCCUGCGAACAGGUCUGGAUUGUACAGCUGAGAAAUCCGAGGCAACAAAACCUUAAUUGGCUUUUCCAAGGGCAUCCAGCUAAUCACUGGGAACGCCAGGCACUGAGCCCAGGGGAGAGGUGCUUCCUCCACUCCCUGCAUUUCCCUCUUCCAACCACUGAUAACAGCAGCAGUAUGGGCUGAGAUCGACUGCAGAGCGUGGACUUGACUCAGCAUCAUCUGGUUCUGUGCUGAGGGAGGCAUCUCCCAGCCACGGUCUCCCUGUUGAUGUGUCCAGCUCCUGACACAAGUAUGUCAUCACCCCAUCCCUGAACUCGUGUGCUGAUGGGCAGCCUUUUGUUUGGACUCCCUUAAAAGUCACAUCCUGGAUCCUUUAGCUUCAAUUCUAGCAGUUGAACGGACCUGCCAUCUCAUCCUGCCUCUUCUGACCAUCUGAUUCCUUGUGUUAAAGAUUGGUCGAUUCAUUUCCCAGAUCCACUCAGUCAUCAAAGAUUAAGCAGCCCUUGGUUUAUCUAUUAAAGGCAGGCAAUUAGUUCCCUCAUGCUGACUCUCAGUGAGAGUUGGGGACACGAUGACUUUGUCCAUGAAACUCCUACAAGAGUAGGAGCACGAUGGCUUCCUACAGAUCCACGGCGGUCACCCACCGUGGAGAAAAACUGAUUUCUUUCCAGCAUGCAAACAGCUGAUUGAACAUCCCCAAGGGCCUUCCAAACCAAUCUGAAAAAAAGAAUCUGGGGGAAAAAGCUGCAAGGUUGGCAAACAUUGCCGCAGCCACGGCUGGUGCCCGGGAAAGGACAGUGCUGGGAGCUCAGCUAAUGCACGUCGCCUCUGCCUCGCAAAGCCAGCAGAGGAGAAAAUGUCAGAGAAUUGGCCUGUCAAAAUGACGAAGCUGAAAAAGCAAGAGCAGUGCAGAAAUUCAAGCUGUCGACAAAAUGCUUGAAGCAGCCUGCUGGGACCAGAGCCCAUGGAUGUGCUGAGAUGCAGGGGGGAGAAACCACUGGCCCCAUUCCACAGCACUGCUCCUGGGCUGGUCACGACCAUCCCUUCCAUACACCUAGGGGCUCUGGGGGGUUAUUUUCUUUUGAUUUUUUUUUUCCAUUUGGUUUUGGAGUGUUUUUGUAUGUGUGUUUAGCCUAUCUGUUUUUCCCAGUCUGAUUGUUAAAUUCUGGCUUUAAACUCUAGUUAGCUCAUGCAAUUGAUUCAUCUGCAGACCAUUCCUCAGCUCAUUGCCACGCACCCACCUGAAGCACCCACUCUUUGUCCUUGGUAGUUUACUCUUCUUUUUUCAAACAGACUCGCCAUUAGCACCUGCUCAGUCAUCACUUAACCAACAUAGGUAGCUCUACCACAUCUGUCACCAUAAAUCACAGCCUCCAGACUGGGAUAUUUUUCACUCCCCUUCUAUGAGCUCUUCCCUGUUUACCAAUAUCUUCCUGGGACUGGGUUUUAACCAUAUCCUAAGGCCCACUGCAGUAGCCUCUGGGGAGGCUUUGAAAUUAUAUUCCCAAUGGCUUGAAAAAACAAAACUUGAGGCUGUGGUGGCCCCUAUGUGGAUGGAAUCCCUCAGGACUGAGAAGCUUUGAGACAAAAUCCUUGAGGAGGUCCCCUUUGAAAAAGAGAAGCUCAGUGCUGCUUCUCUGACCCAGGAGAUCUGGUUCUUUGGGAUCCCUGAACAAAGCAUCUAGGUCCUCAAAAAUGUUAGGUGAAAGGACCUCAUUACUUUUGAGGACUUCAGCCUCUAUGCCUCAGCCACCCAGCUCAGAGCUGAAAUUAAGCAUGCGUUAAUUUGCAAACAGUUUCCCAAGAGGUUAACAUAAGCAAUAAGCUCAUGUAAGUCUCCAGCUCUUUGCAACAGGGCCAGGUCCUGAUGACAUCAUGGGGACAUCACGGGCACAGCGGCCACUUACAAAGAACUGGGCUGCAUUCAGUGGUAGCAAUGAGAUGUUCCAACCUGGACAGUGGUCUAUGAAGCUGUAAAAUGGAGCAAGCAACAAUCCCUUCCCCACGGAUUUAUCCUAAGAAUAAGACUGAGGCAAUGGAUGCUAAAGCAAUCAGGGCUUCUUCAGACAUGUGAGGUAGUUAGAUUGACUGUGCCUCCACGAAAGCAGCAGAAAUGCUUUGUGCAAGCCUGGUGAUAAAUUGAAUGAGAAGGCUCAUGCAGCCCAUCUAUUAACAGCCGGCCUCUGCAAAGGCUCCAGCAAACAAACACUGCAAAUGAAGUCGCAAGAUGAUCUCUUUUCACAGAAAAAGGACUUCUCUCUUUCCCCUUUUUCCCUCUCUUUCAUACUGACUUCCAUCAAAAGGCAAACGUACCGACAGCUUUCCUAAAGGGGUGUCUUUCAGAAACACUACAGCUCUCACCUGUUGGUUCAGCUCAUUGGAAACGGGAUUCAAUCUUGGAGGUGAAAAACAAUAACAAAAAAAAUUAAUCCUGAAAGUGCUCGGAAUAUGCAGCAGGGUGGAUGAGGAGCAUCAGAUGCCAGAACAGACAUCUGAUGUCGGCUCUCCCCGCCGUCCUCUUUCCAAGCCGACAGAUUCCCUCAGAACGGCAGAAAUUCACGGCUAUUUUUGCCUCCCUGAUUAGUUUGUUUCAGUAAAUCCCACUCCACGGAUAGGCCCAGCUCGCUUUAAUUAGCUCUGGCACAUUGACAACAAGAGGGAAGACAACACCACAGUACCGUGCCGUCCGGACACACAUCACCAAGCAGUGACAAAAAUAACCCUUUUUGCUACAUAACAGCCAACUGCUUUCCCGACUGUUUGCUUUCAUCCCUGUAAGCCUUUCACCUAGCUGGUGAAAUUAGUCGGACCAAUCCAACACUUUACUGAACAAAAUCUAUUUUUCAUCUCUUGCUAGUAAAUAGUCCCAAAACCCAACAGAAUCAGUGGCUGUUUGGAGUUAUUUUUCCACUGUCUCUCCCUGCUUCCCGCACCCAGUAGUAUAUUUUAUCUCCUGCAUGUUCAGGGCAAUCUGGUCAUUGCUAGGCAACAUGCCAUAAUAAAUAUUUAAUCGGCAGAGGAGCUUUCA